AAUUCUCGAAUGUGAUACCCCUCUCUCUUUUACUUCUUUUCUAAAAAACAGAAACACUUCUUUCCUUCUCAUUCUCUCAAUUUUCUCUGCAACCCAACUUUCUUCCAAUCUCUGAUCUCUGUACUACCAUCUCACUGAUUCAACCUUCCAUACUCAGACUCUGGAACGACCAGCCAACAGGACCCUCAGCGGUUCCUUCCUCAGCUUCCAUUCUCCUAGGUUAAAUUGAAGAAUUCUGCUCUCUUGCUAUUCAUUGACUCCACCAAUCUAAUUCUUGGCAAAAAGAUAUAGAUGCAGGUGAAGAUACACCCCUCCGGGACAAGAGAUGAUUAUGUUAGACGUACCAGUAGUAGAUGUAGCCUUUUUCUUUUGUUUAGUUGAUCGGGUAUUUUGUAACCCUUUAAAUAUGUAUAGGCUGUAUGUAUCGAUCAGUGUAUGUAUGGUUAUUUUGAGGAUGAUUGUAUUAUAUUAUACUGACCUUCAUUAU